rnacentral:lncRNA from 1 species
AUGGUGCUGGCCCUGCAAGGGGUAGGGCUGGGGGCACCCACCUUCCUGACCUCACAGCCCUGCUCCUUCUGUUGCAGACCAAGUGGCUUGAAACCAAGAUCUGUGUGUGGGUCUUCAUUACAGGAGGUAGUAGUGGCUGAGCUGGUCCAGGUAGCUCAAGUUUGGAGCCAAGAUGUGGAGGCAGAGCUCCUGUGUGGUCAUGAUCAACGUGGGACCUGCCUGUCCCCUGCAGAGAUAAGCAUGACCAAGGAGGAUGCCUCUGGGUCCCACCAGACCUCCCCCAGGGGCAAGAAACACCUUGGAAAACCCCAGGGAUCUUGCCAGGGAAAUAAAGGCCUUGGACUGUGCCAGCAUCUCUGUGUUGUCUGUGGAACCUGCCCUAUGUCCCAUAGGAUUCCCUUAGGACUCCCUCUGGGACACCUCUGGGGAACUCCUCUAUCUACUGGGUCCCCAGCAUUCUUUGGGAUGUCACCCCAUGUCACUAGGUUCUCAUAUCCCCUCCCUUGGAGUGCCCCACACCCAUCCCAAAGCAUAUAGACCCCCUUUUUCUCACAAUAUUCAUUAUCUGUGGCCCCAGUGGAUGUGGUUAAUCUGGUGGCAUUGGUCCAAAUACCAAAUACAAUUUAUUUUCAGAAUUGCAAUCUCUUGCAACAGUUGGAAGCAAGAUGGGCUAGUUAGACCUUCAGUAACUGCAUGCUAAGAGAAUGCCACCAC